rnacentral:rRNA from 1 species
CGAAGGGUGCAAGCGUUAAUCGGAAUUACUGGGCGUAAAGCGCGCGUAGGUGGUUUGGUAAGAUGGAUGUGAAAUCCCCGGGCUCAACCUGGGAACUGCAUCCAUAACUGCCUGACUAGAGUACGGUAGAGGGUGGUGGAAUUUCCUGUGUAGCGGUGAAAUGCGUAGAUAUAGGAAGGAACACCAGUGGCGAAGGCGACCACCUGGACUGAUACUGACACUGAGGUGCGAAAGCGUGGGGAGCAAACAGG